GGAGGGUAUGCCCAUGGUGGGCGCGCGGUGUCGAAUACCGCUAUACGGUAUCCAUUCCGGGAGUUCGAUUCUUCUACCCUCCGCAA
rnacentral:tRNA from 1 species